CUCUCCUUUCCCCUUGUUCCUCCCCAGAGUGACUUUGAAGAUGACAUUUGUAUAUCUGAAUUAAAACCACAUUUGGCCGGUGCUGAGAAGGGAGGAGGCAGGGGCAGAAGAGAGAGAAAUCUUUUUGUUCUCUUCCUUGUCGUCCCCCCUCACCUGCCAGGGCCAAGCUCCAAAAUAAUUCCAAACAGCUGAGGUUAGCCAGGGACAUCUAAUCCCGGAAAGCUGGCUCUGAAUUCCAGCACCAGCACAUGGCAUUUGAAUUUCAACAACCAUUCACGUGUAAUUCCUCCAGACCUCUGAAGAAGUGUGAGUAUAUGCACAGGUAUGGGCUUAUUUAUAUAAAAAGAAAAAAAAACAAAUUCAUAAAUUGUAACCCAAAAGAUAUAAUGAUAACUGUGGCAACAUUCUUGUUUUUUAAAGCUAAGCAAGCUCAGGAACUGUUUUAAGGAUGUACUGGGGUCUUUUGAGUGUACCCUAAACCACCGUGACUAUAGGAUGUCCAAGAAUUGUGAUUCUCAACCAAAGGGAAGGCUGAGUCCUCUUUCCCUGAUUUCCUGUAAUGGAAAAAGACUGCUCUGUGCAAGUGGAGCUUAAAGGAUCUUGCUGAGACCUUUCCUGUUUGUUUACAGAAGGGGUACAAGGAGCAUCCUGGCAACACAACGGAGAGAAACCUCUCAGGGCAGAGCUACACCGAUAUGGGAGGAUGUGGCAGCAACAGGAUCACCCUGAGGGAAACACAUCUUUCCAGACAUGGAAAGCAAAGGGGACACGUUGGGAAACAAUAAUUGAUUAUUGUCUCACUCCUUGCGUUGGAUGAAUCCUGUGUUCUCUGAGUGAAGGCUAAUGAGCCAGCCUCCAUCCUUGACAAGAUCUGGAGCAAGGCAGUGGCUUCCACAGCUCCCCACAAAUUUCUGCAGUGCAAAAGGGCUGACCCACAACUCAAGCACCGUGGGGCCAAGCUUCCCAAGACCAUCUUCUUCGCAGCCGCUCUGUGUGGUGACAUCUUGGCAUCGUACAUGGAGAAGCGGUUUACAAGAGCCCCUAGGACUGACCAGAGAUCUCCACCAUGCCCCAGUCAUCCUCCUGUCACACUGCUGAUUCAACCAAUGCCCUCCCAAUCCUGCCCAUAGAGCAACUACAGGGGACAUGUGAUGCCACGGCAAGUACCCAGCCAGCAGCAGCGUGAACCGAUGCGCUCGCUAUUUAAUAUGCAGAGGAAAUGAGUCGCAACUAAGUUCAUUGCACACAUCCAUUACGUGAGAGAAGCAUCAAUAUUUCUGUAAAUCCACCAGGGAAUUUAUUCAUCUCAGCCUCCAGCAAUGGUGGAUUCCCCUGGUGACUAGUGCAAUUCGGAAGCGCGUACAGCCAUAAUGAGAAAGUACCGUGGUUUCCCUUAAAGUAAUAUAGUGGUUAUUGCUGAUAGUUACUGCCUUUGUGAAGUAUUAAUGCGUGGUUAUAGUGCAGUCAUGUAGCAAAAUUAUAGGGGCCUGUGGAAUGUUACUUAGCAACACUUGCUAAUGUUGAGGUGGUAAUGAAGAAAUGGAGUAAAAGAAAUACAGAGUAUAUUGGAGUCAUAAAAUAAACCAUGGUGUGGCUUCA
rnacentral:lncRNA from 1 species